rnacentral:rRNA from 1 species
AGAGUUUGAUCCUGGCUCAGAUUGAACGCUGGCGGCAUGCCUUACACAUGCAAGUCGAACGGCAGCACGGGUGCUUGCACCUGGUGGCGAGUGGCGAACGGGUGAGUAAUAUAUCGGAACGUACCCUAGAGUGGGGGAUAACGUAGCGAAAGUUACGCUAAUACCGCAUACGAUCUACGGAUGAAAGUGGGGGAUCGCAAGACCUCAUGCUCAUGGAGCGGCCGAUAUCUGAUUAGCUAGUUGGUGGGGUAAAAGCCUACCAAGGCGACGAUCAGUAGCUGGUCUGAGAGGACGACCAGCCACACUGGAACUGAGACACGGUCCAGACUCCUACGGGAGGCAGCAGUGGGGAAUUUUGGACAAUGGGGGCAACCCUGAUCCAGCAAUGCCGCGUGAGUGAAGAAGGCCUUCGGGUUGUAAAGCUCUUUUGUCAGGGAAGAAACGGGAUUUUCUAAUACAAAGUCCUAAUGACGGUACCUGAAGAAUAAGCACCGGCUAACUACGUGCCAGCAGCCGCGGUAAUACGUAGGGUGCAAGCGUUAAUCGGAAUUACUGGGCGUAAAGCGUGCGCAGGCGGUUGUGCAAGACAGAUGUGAAAUCCCCGGGCUCAACCUGGGAAUUGCAUUUGUGACUGCACGGCUAGAGUGUGUCAGAGGGGGGUAGAAUUCCACGUGUAGCAGUGAAAUGCGUAGAGAUGUGGAGGAAUACCGAUGGCGAAGGCAGCCCCCUGGGAUAACACUGACGCUCAUGCACGAAAGCGUGGGGAGCAAACAGGAUUAGAUACCCUGGUAGUCCACGCCCUAAACGAUGUCUACUAGUUGUCGGGUCUUAAUUGACUUGGUAACGCAGCUAACGCGUGAAGUAGACCGCCUGGGGAGUACGGUCGCAAGAUUAAAACUCAAAGGAAUUGACGGGGACCCGCACAAGCGGUGGAUGAUGUGGAUUAAUUCGAUGCAACGCGAAAAACCUUACCUACCCUUGACACGUACGGAACUUACCAGAGAUGGUUUGGUGCUCGAAAGAGAACCGUAACACAGGUGCUGCAUGGCUGUCGUCAGCUCGUGUCGUGAGAUGUUGGGUUAAGUCCCGCAACGAGCGCAACCCUUGUCAUUAGUUGCUACGAAAGGGCACUCUAAUGAGACUGCCGGUGACAAACCGGAGGAAGGUGGGGAUGACGUCAAGUCCUCAUGGCCCUUAUGGGUAGGGCUUCACACGUCAUACAAUGGUACAUACAGAGGGCCGCCAACCCGCGAGGGGGAGCUAAUCCCAGAAAGUGUAUCGUAGUCCGGAUUGUAGUCUGCAACUCGACUACAUGAAGUUGGAAUCGCUAGUAAUCGCGGAUCAGCAUGUCGCGGUGAAUACGUUCCCGGGUCUUGUACACACCGCCCGUCACACCAUGGGAGCGGGUUUCACCAGAAGUAGGUAGCCUAACCGCAAGGAGGGCGCUUACCACGGUGGGAUUCGUGACUGGGGUGAAGUCGUAACAAGGUA